UUUGCAAGCUCUUGCCUGACAACAC
rnacentral:snRNA from 1 species